AAAGUGCGAUAAUUAGUGCCUUGUGCACGGAUCGGGCGCUGAGUCUUCGAAUGCAAAUCGUUCUGUCCAGGCCAUGCUGGCAGAGCAUCUGCUUCAGGGUUGUUAUUUUCGCGUUGGACCAAACUUCUAGGUUGGCCAGCUCCUCCCAGUUAGAUCAUUAGGGAACUAACUAAUGUUUUGACUUCAUGCCCAGCACAGUUUCCACCCAUCCUUACCUAUAGGCGUCGUCGCGUUGGACCCGUCCUUCCUUCGCCGUGGGUGUGGUUUACGGUGUGACGCUGGCAUGUUCAAUGCAACCUGAAGUCAGGUGUGGCUACCCGCUGAACUUAA
rnacentral:misc_RNA from 1 species